CCCCUAGUAACUGCGAGUGAAGCGGGAAAAGCUCAAAUUUAAAAUCUGGCAGUCUUUGAUUGUCCGAGUUGUAAUCUAGAGAAGUGUUAUCCGCGUUGGACCGUGUACAAGUCUCCUGGAAUGGAGCAUCAUAGAGGGUGAGAAUCCCGUCUUUGACACGGACUACCAGUGCUUUGUGAUGCGCUCUCAAAGAGUCGAGUUGUUUGGGAAUGCAGCUCAAAAUGGGUGGUAAAUUCCAUCUAAAGCUAAAUAUUGGCGAGAGACCGAUAGCGAACAAGUACCGUGAGGGAAAGAUGAAAAGGACUUUGGAAAGAGAGUUAAACAGUACGUGAAAUUGCUGAAAGGGAAACGCUUGAAGUCAGUCGCGUUGGCUGGAAAUCAACCUUGCUUUUGCUGGGCGUACUUUCUAGUCAAUGGGUCAGCAUCAAUUUUGACCAUUGGAAAAAGUGUAGAGGAAUGUGGCAUCUUCGGAUGUGUUAUAGCCUUUGCUCGCAUACAGUGGUUGGGAUUGAGGAAUUCAGCAGGGAAAAAA
rnacentral:rRNA from 1 species